UAAACUGGGAUUAGAUACCCCACUAUGCUUAACCGUAAACUUUUACUUACCCCCACCCCCGCCAGGGAACUACGAGCAAAGCUUAAAACCCAAAGGACUUGACGGUGCCCCACAUCCCCCUAGAGGAGCCUGUCCCAUAACCGAUGAUCCCCGCUAAACCUUACCAUUUUUAGUCUAUCAACCUGUAUACUUCCGUCCCCGGUCCACCACGUGAGUGAUGCCAAGUGGGCCUAAUGUCCCCAACAAUACGUCAGGUCAAAGUGCAGUUUAUAAAAUGGAGGAAGAUGGGCUACACUCUCUGAGUCAGAGAACACGAAAAGCAUAAUGAAACCCAUGAUUGAAGGCGGAUUUAGUWAGAAAAAGAGACUAGAGAGUGUCUUCUUAAUUGGCACUGAGGCGUGUACACACCGCCCG
rnacentral:rRNA from 1 species